rnacentral:rRNA from 1 species
ACGCUCGACACCUACGGGGGCAGCAGUGGGGAAUAUUGCACAAUGGGGGAAACCCCGAUGCAGCGACGCCGCGUGGAGGAAGAAGGUCUUCGGAUUGUAAACUCCUGUUGUUGGGGAAAAAGAGGAUGGUACCCAACAAGGAAGUGACGGCUAACUACGUGCCGCAGCCGCGGUAAUCUGAGCGGGCUGGCAAGGC